CCCUACGGGGGGCAGCAGUGGGGAAUAUUGCACAAUGGGGGAAACCCUGAUGCAGCGACGCCGCGUGAGCGAAGAAGUAUUUCGGUAUGUAAAGCUCUAUCAGCAGGGAAGAAAAUGACGGUACCUGACUAAGAAGCCCCGGCUAACUACGUGCCAGCAGCCGCAGUAAUACGUAGGGGGCAAGCGUUAUCCGGAUUUACUGGGUGUAAAGGGAGCGUAGACGGCAUAGCAAGUCUGAUGUGAAAGAUCGGGGCUCAACCCCGGGCCUGCAUUGGAAACUGUUAAGCUGGAGUACAGGAGCGGUA
rnacentral:rRNA from 1 species